rnacentral:rRNA from 1 species
GAUGAACGCUAGCGGCAGGCCUAACACAUGCAAGUCGAGCGGGGGAAGGUAGCUUGCUACCGGACCUAGCGGCGGACGGGUGAGUAAUGCUUAGGAAUCUGCCUAUUAGUGGGGGACAACAUCUCGAAAGGGAUGCUAAUACCGCAUACGUCCUACGGGAGAAAGCAGGGGAUCUUCGGACCUUGCGCUAAUAGAUGAGCCUAAGUCAGAUUAGCUAGUUGGUGGGGUAAAGGCCUACCAAGGCGACGAUCUGUAGCGGGUCUGAGAGGAUGAUCCGGCACACUGGGACUGAGACACGGCCCAGACUCCUACGGGAGGCAGCAGUGGGGAAUAUUGGACAAUGGGGGGAACCCUGAUCCAGCCAUGCCGCGUGUGUGAAGAAGGCCUUAUGGUUGUAAAGCACUUUAAGCGAGGAGGAGGCUACUUUAGUUAAUACCUAGAGAUAGUGGACGUUACUCGCAGAAUAAGCACCGGCUAACUCUGUGCCAGCAGCCGCCGUAA